rnacentral:rRNA from 1 species
UACGUAGGGUGCAAGCGUUAAUCGGAAUUACUGGGCGUAAAGCGUGCGCAGGCGGUUGUGCAAGACCGAUGUGAAAUCCCCGGGCUUAACCUGGGAAUGGCAUUGGUGACUGCACGGCUAGAGUGUGUCAGAGGGGGGGUAGAAUUCCACGUGUAGCAGUGAAAUGCGUAGAGAUGUGGAGGAAUACCGAUGGCGAAGGCAGCCUCCUGGGCCAACACUGACGCUCAUGCACGAAAGCGUGGGGAGCAAACAGG